UAUGGUUUUUCCAGUAGUCAUGUAUGGAUGAGAGAGUUGGACUAUAAAGAAGGUUGAAUGCCGAAGAAUUAAUGCUUUUGAACUGUGGUGUUGGAGAAGACUCUUGAGAGUCCCUUGGACUGCAAGGAGAUCCAACCAGUCCAUCCUAAAGGAGAUCAGUCCUGAAUAUUCAUUGGAAGGACUGAUGCUGAAGCUGAAGCUCCAAUACUUUGGCCACCUGAUGGGAAGAACCGACUCAUUGGAAAAGACCCUGAUGCUGGGAAAGAUUGAAGGUGGGAGGAGAAGGGGACGACAGAGGAUGAAAGGGUUGGAUGGCAUCACCGACUCAACGGACAUGAGUUUGAGCAAGCUCCGAGAGUUGGUGACAGACAGGGAAGCCUGGUGUGCUGCAGCCAUGGGGUCACAAAGAGUCGGACACGACUGAGCCACUGAACUGAACUGACUCCCACCUCCCAGUGACACUGUACCGUCUCAACAGGGCAGCAGAUGAAGUGGCUGGGAAACAGCGGGCACGCAGUGCGUGUCUGCUGCGCAUUCCCCCUUUCUUCAAGGCACUACAGGGGCUCUCCGACGGGGCUGUGUACCGGAGUCACCUGGGAAACACGCUGUGCUACACUCUUCUCCCCCACCUUCCAGUUCAUGAGACAGAGGUGUGCAUUGCUAGUAAGUUUCCAGACCGCAUAGAGGCUGCUGGUCUGGCGGCCCCGCUUUGAGAACCAGUGAGCCACGGUGGGUCUACUGUGGCGGAGAGGCCUGGAAGGAAAUAAAAACUGUUCUGGAUGGAAAGUUCAUCACAGACGCUGACAGAAGCUCUGAGAGCCAACAGUCGCCAAGGGUCUGCAGCAGCCCACCACCUUCACUCAAUGCCGAGUUGGUCCCUGACCUCCUGGCUAUGCUUUUCAGGGUCCAUGGGCUCUUGGCCAUCUGUUCCAGCCCAGAGGUUGGCCCCUUCUGCCAAAGGAUCCUAUCCGCGCAACGGCCUGGUCCCUGCCGCCUCUCCAGCUCCCACCUGGACACGAGCCACCGUGGCCUCCAGCCGCCAAGACUUAUUUGAAGAAAGAGAAAGGGAGAGAAAAAAAUUCUGCCUUAAACGGCAGAAAACAAGUUCACCCGCAAAGCGUUUACGUGGAAGGCUUCCUUGUGUGGUGGGAGAUUUAGGUCCUUUCGGGCUUGACCCCUGUCUGAAAGAACUACUACAAAACCAUAAAAAGCAAUGAGGUAGGUAGACCUGAGCGCGCUGAACGAGCUGGUGUGUGAGACCAACCACGAGACGUGACAGAUGCUGAGGGAGCAAGGAACGCCCAGCGUGGGUAAUGAAAUCCGUGUGGUGCUUUGAAAGGAACUUUGAUGACAACCUUCUGAAGGGCUCCACGAAGCUAACAGGAUGGCCUUUGGGAAAACGAACUCGAGGGAGCAGAGACUGUGCAUUUCACACCUUUCAGAAUUUUCCCAAGGACUGAGUACAUGGAUAGCUGUCACUGGUCUUAGCUGCUAGCAGCAGA